GAUCAGCAGAGUACUAAAUCCUUGGGGAUGCUGGAAGGACACUACUGUUAUAGUGUUGAUAAUCUUGUUCUGGGCUGUAAAAACAACAGGGGGAGAAGGGAGAGGAUGGAUGAUGUCAUGCUGCUGUGGACUUUCCAGUCAAACAACCCGUAGUGGAGCUACUCUUGGCUCCAAGAGAAAGUGAAGGAGGCCAACCUUGACCCCCGUGACAGCGUGGUUGCCAUGGAAGCACAGGUCAGCCAGUCGACCUCCGCCGUCCCUCGACUCUCUCCUCUCGGUCCUAUCAGUCAUUUUUGGUAGUUCCGUCUGAGUAUGUACUUUCAUUACAUCAUCGGUGAUCUCUCCCUGGUUACAUCCCAAAUGGCAUCCUAUUCCCUAUGUAGUGCACUACCUUUGACCAGGGCCCAUUUGGGACGGAGCCCCCUAACGCCUGUCUCCCCUAUGGUGUCCAGAGGAAAGACUUCCCUAAGGGGAUCAGACGCACUCCGCUUCACUGUCUGAUCUUACAAGGCCCAGGGUGAGUUACUCCCUGUCUGAUCUUACAAGGCCCAGGGUGAGUUACUCCCUGUCUGAUCUUACAAGGCCCAGGGUGAGUUCCUCACUGUCUGAUCUUACAAGGCCCAGGGUGAGUUCCUCCCUGUCUGAUCUUACAAGGCCCAGGGUGAGUUACUCCCUGUCUGAUCUUACAAGGCCCAGGGUGAGUUACUCCCUGUCUGAUCUUACAAGGCCCAGGGUGAGUUCCUCCCUGUCUGAUCUUACAAGGCAGUGAGAUUCACAUUGGAUGUACUGGAGGACAGGGGGGCCUGAACUGGUAACACUGGCACAUGGAUUAGAUUUAUACUGUACUGGAACACGAGUAGACAUG
rnacentral:lncRNA from 1 species